AAUAUUUAUCAUUCUUUGUUAUAGACCUGCCCCUUUUUAGCACUGCACUCGUUGUGUUGUGUCUUCCAGUCUGUAUUUCCACAGAAUGAAGGUUUUGCCUUCAAUGUGGGGACCAAAUGUCCCACCUGAAAGCUGAAAUCACAUUGUGUGGAGCAACCAAGUGUCCUACAUGCCAUGGCUGUCGAGGGUUUGUCUGCAAACAGCACAGUGGUGUUUCUUCUUGAAGUUCCUCUCUUUAAAGGAGUGUGAAGCCACUUUCUCCAACUAUUUAUGUAAGCACACACACAAAGACCUCAAAAUUAUACAGCAGCAGAUCAAUUUUCCCAAAUGUAUUUAUAUUUGGAUCGGUUACAUUUGGCAAGAAAUAAGCCCAAAAAUAUAUGCCAACCACAAACAUGAUAUUAAUGAGAACUGAGCAAACAUGUCCACACGCCCCCAGUCGUGGUGAUAUGAAGAGGAUAACUCACUCACUCACACAUACACUGGAGGUGAUGAAUGAAGUGUAUGUUUGUAUUGGGGAAGAGUACUGUGAUGAUAGAAGUGUAUUUGAUGAACUGAGCAGAUAUUGUGGAAGACAGUUGGAUACUUUGACAAUCACUGAAUAAACUCAUUAUUCUGAUCUUACUAUUUUCUAGCCUAGCUGAUUUUUUUCUACUUAAUUGAUGAUGUCUACAUAUUACCACCAUAUCAUCAACAAAUUAUUAUGAAUCCUAUAGGAAAACUUUAACUCUGUUCUUUUUUUUUUUUUUUUUUUUACUAUUUGUGUGCUACGAUACUGUUCUAUUAUUAAAUUAGAUAACAUUUUUGUUAUGCUUUAAAAUGAGUCUUGUAUAAGCUGUAUUUAUUUGUAUUAUUUGAUUAAAAACAGUCAAAAAUGGUGUUGUAAAAUACUAUACAAAUUUUAUAUGACUUUUCAAUUUGAUUUUUUUUUUUUUUUCAUGUAAUUCAGCAAAGCUGAAGUUUCAGCA